rnacentral:rRNA from 1 species
GGUCCUACGGGAGGCUGCAGUGGGGAAUAUUGGGCAAUGGGCGAAAGCCUGACCCAGCGACGCCGCGUGAGGGAAGAAGGUCUUCGGAUUGUAAACCUUUGUCAACAGGGACGAAAAAAAUGACGGUACCUGUGAAGGAAGCCACGGCUAACUACGUGCCAGCAGCCGCGGUAAUACGUAGGUGGCGAGCGUUAUCCGGAAUUACUGGGUGUAAAGGGUGAGUAGGCGGGGAUACAAGUCAGAUGUGAAAUGCAAAGGCUUAACCUUUGAAUUGCAUUUGAAACUGUAUUUCUUGAGAGUCGGAGAGGUAAUCGGAAUUCCUAGUGUAGCGGUGAAAUGCGUAGAUAUUAGGAGGAACACCAGUGGCGAAGGCGGAUUACUGGACGACAACUGACGCUGAGACACGAAAGCGUGGGGAGCAAACAGGAUUAGAUACCCUGGUAGUCC